AUACGGAGGGGGUUAGCGUUGUUCGGAAUCACUGGGCGUAAAGCGCGCGCAGGCGGCUAUUUAAGUUGGAUGUGAAAGCCUACGGCUCAACCGUAGAACUGCAUCCAAAACUAUUUAGCUAGAGUGUGGGAGAGGAAGAUGGAAUUAGUUGUGUAGGGGUAAAAUCCGUAGAGAUAACUAGGAAUACCAAAAGCGAAGGCAAUCUUCUGGAACACUACUGACGCUGAGGCGCGAAAGCGUGGGGAGCAAACAGGAUUAGAAACCCUAGUAGUCC
rnacentral:rRNA from 1 species